CCAGAGAACUUAGCAGAGAUGCUUUGGUGCCUUCGGGAACUCUGAGACAGGUGCUGCAUGGCUGUCGUCAGCUCGUGUUGUGAAAUGUUGGGUUAAGUCCCGCAACGAGCGCAACCCUUAUCCUUUGUGCCAGCGGCUCGGCCGGGAACUCAAAGGAGACUGCCGGUGAUAAACCGGAGGAAGGUGGGGAUGACGUCAAGUCAUCAUGGCCCUUACGGCCAGGGCUACACACGUGCUACAAUGGCGCAUACAAAGAGAAGCGACCUCGCGAGAGCAAGCGGACCUCAUAAAGUGCGUCGUAGUCCGGAUUGGAGUCUGCAACUCGACUCCAUGAAGUCGGAAUCGCUAGUAAUCGUAGAUCAGAAUGCUACGGUGAAUACGUUCCCGGGCCUUGUACACACCGCCCGUCACACCAUGGGAGUGGGUUGCAAAAGAAGUAGGUAGCUUAACCUUCGGGAGGGCGCUUACCACUUUGUGAUUCAUGACUGGGGUGAAGUCGUAACAAGGUAGGCGUAGAUGA
rnacentral:rRNA from 1 species